GUUGCAUCUGUAUUUCAAUCAUUUUUACUGCUGAGUAGUAUUCCACGGUGUGGGUGUACCACGAUUUAUCAGUUUGCUUGCUGACUGCUGUCUAGGUUGAUCAUAGCUUUUGGCGAUUAAAAAAUACAACUGUGGACUUGAACAGGGAGGAGCAGAUCUGAGCAGUGACUCUGACACCUUCACAGCCCAGAAAGGAAGAACAGCUGACCCGAGAGGGGGGUGGCUGAGUGAACUCUCCAAAACUCUGUUAGACAGUUUGAGACUUGGAGUGACUUGGAGUUCUGUUCCUGGAGCAGAAAAUAAGGACAGAAUUCCCUGACCAGGAACCCUGACCAGGGUGGGGCCAGAGAGGAGGGAUAACUAAGGGAGAAAGUGGAAGAGGAAAAACUCUUAAGCUCAUGUACUUAACUCCAGAAAAGCAGACCCAGUUAAAACAGGACGGGGGCAGCAGAGACAGUGGGGAUCAAGCAGUUUAACCCACCCGGGGACUGAAAGCCGGGCCGGCAGGGCAGCCAUUUUGUAGAGUCCACCGCUGGCCAGCCUCUCAGGAAGAAAUUCAAUCCACACGGCUUCUCUAGCUUCAGGUGGCAACAGGUAAACCAGAGGGAAUGGCUCUGAGAUGGGUCAUCCCAAUUGUCCACCUAAAGGAACUGUGGAGGGAAGCUGCUGGGGAAACCCACUGAAAUCUCCCCUCCCCAGGGAGGACAGGGAAUGGGUGGAGCUGACCUGGAGCUAAUCACUGACCCCAGCCCAGCAUUCCACACAGCCUCUGCAGGGCUCUGGGAAAAAUGGUCCAGCUGACACCCUCCCCCCUCAGGGUGAUGGGUACAACCCAGAGAUCGGCACCAUCCAGGGAGGAGUCUUCUGUGCACAGCUGGCCCACAGAGAGCACCUCUAGGAGGUGUGACUCCCAGAGUGGCCAGUUAACCCAGUUCUCACUCAGAUGCACUGACCCAUAGAAGGCAAUUCCUGAGGACAAGCCCAAGCCUCCAGCAGCGACCCUGGUACAUACACAAAGACACUGUCGUUCACAGAGGGGCUUACAGAGGAGCACCCCACAGGACACCAGCCACCACCCAGUG
rnacentral:lncRNA from 1 species